rnacentral:tRNA from 1 species
GAGUAACUAACUCAAUUGGUAGAGUGUUUCGCUUACAACGAAACAGUUGGUAGUUCGAAUCUGCCGUUACUUA